AUGACAUAUCUUGACUUUGAAGUGGAUUGGUUUGACAAUUGUGAUAGUGACACUUGGUCUAUUCUGUGGAUUGAUGACUUCCUGACGCAGUUGAGCUAUGACAGAGGUGUUUCCAAGCAUGACAUAUAUUGGUGUCAACCUGGCAAGUCAGUAGCAGAUGGUCUGAAGCAGAUUACAUGUGAUGCUGACAUACUGUUAAUGAUUGGUGCAACAAUUGAGCACAAAAAUUUGCUCCUCAUUAUUGACCAUGGUGGUACACUACAAACACUUACUGGAGAUGAUGUCAUGGCUUAUGGAGUUCCUGAAUUGCCCAAGGUUAUCACUCCAAUCAAAGACAGCAAGGGGAAACAAAAUGUUAGCUUUACAGAAGAGGUGAUUUUCACAGAAUUUGCUAACAGUGCAAAACAGAAUAGAGAAAAGCGAACUAGGAGGUUUGUUUCAUUUGGUGAAGGUUGUAGUUCCUCGGGUGCUGGUGCUGGUGAUGAAGAAAUUGAGGAAGGAUCUCUGAGCAGUGAUACAGACCAACAAGAUGAAGGCAUCGAAGAAGAAACCGAUGAGGAAUUUCAUGACAGUGACUUCGAACCAGAUGUGGGGGAUGAUGAUUUGUUUGACGAGAAUGUGGACAAGGAUGUGGAUGAUCACAGAGAGAGGGAGUUCAUACCUGACAUAGAAGCAAAACUUCCAGAAGAUGCACUUGAUGACUCUCACUUGGAUCUAUCCAAAGAAGAGAAUGAGAAGUUGAAGUACAAUUUCAAAACAUUUAACUCGGCUACUGAUUUGAAUGCACCCACCUUCAGGCUUGGAAUGGUUUUUGCUGACAUGAAGGAACUGAGACUCGCAAUAAGUGCCUACAGUGUUAGAAACAGAGUGAAGCUAAAGAAGACAAGGAAUACCACAACUAUAUUAGUUGUAGUGUGCAAACCAAGAUGCUCUUGGCAAUUUAAGGCAGGCAAGGACAACAGGACAAAUAGCAUCAUCAUAAAGAAGUUUAAUGGAGUACACACAUGCACCAAGGCUUGGGAUCUGAAGGUGUUGACUGCACCUUUUCUCACUAGAAAAUUCAAAGAAGAGUUUAGAGACAAUGAGAAAAUGUCUCUGAAGAAAUUUUAA
rnacentral:rRNA from 1 species